UGCAUGAAACUAUUAGCAGCCUUUCGUCCAUCAAAUUGGACUUUUGUAGUAAUAGAUUGGUGUUAUCUGUUAAAAUGAGAAUCUAUAGCAUUGCCCACAGCUAGUCCUUUUCCUUCUCCAGAUAUGAGCAACUUCAACAAUAGCCUAAUAGUUGGUGCAUUUUGCGAGCACCUUCACAACUGACUCUUUUCAAUGGCUGUCCUCAAUUGCCACCUCCUCUUUACAUGGGAUGCAUGUCCCAGAAGACUAUCCUGCAAGUCCCUAGCUUGCAAGUCACCCCUUCAUGCCACUCAUGACAUGAGCAUGAUACGUAUAGGAUACGUGACUGUACUCCUCUUCCAUGACAUCUCUCCCAUGGUGUCUCUAUUCCAACAAGCCCCAUCAUCACCAUCACAUAGUCCUUAUCCAGCACCUCAUCGCUUACCCCAAGAAUUAUUUUCUUAUGGUAAUAUAUGGUGGUCAAGAAGGAGAAUCCCAUCCUAGCGAUGGCUGAGUUAAAGCCUAUCUUCAACUCCAAGUACUAAAUAAAAAUAGCUACUAGUGGUAUUUUUAAAUUCCAUUAUAAGCCUGAAAGAAUACC
rnacentral:lncRNA from 1 species